CCUACGGGUGGCAGCAGUGAGGAAUAUUGGUCAAUGGCCGGAACGCUGAACCAGCCACGCCGCGUGAAGGUCAGUGCCCUAUGGGCGUUAAACUUCUUUUGUCAGGGACGAAGCAAGUGACGGUACCUGACGAAUCAGCCACGGCUAACUACGUGCCAGCAGCCGCGGUAAUACGGAGGGGGCAAGCGUUAUCCGGAUUUACUGGGUGUAAAGGGCGUGUAGGCGGGACUGCAAGUCAGAUGUGAAAACCACGGGCUCAACCUGUGGCCUGCAUUUGAAACUGUAGUUCUUGAGUACUGGAGAGGCAGACGGAAUUCCUGGUGUAGCGGUGAAAUGCGUAGAUAUUAGGAGGAACACCAGUGGCGAAGGCGGUCUGCUGGACAGCAACUGACGCUGAGGCGCGAAAGCGUGGGGAGCAAACAGGAUUAGAUACCCGAGUAGUC
rnacentral:rRNA from 1 species